UACGUAGGGUGCAAGCGUUGUCCGGAAUUAUUGGGCGUAAAGAGCUCGUAGGCGGUUUGUUGCGUCGGCUGUGAAAUCCCGAGGCUCAACCUCGGGUCUGCAGUCGAUACGAGCAACCUAGAGUGUUGCAGGGGAGACUGGAAUUCCUGGUGUAGCGGUGAAAUGCGCAGAUAUCAGGAGGAACACCGGUGGCGAAGGCGGGUCUCUGGGCAACAACUGACGCUGAGGAGCGAAAGCGUGGGGAGCGAACAGG
rnacentral:rRNA from 1 species